CAGCGGCCCUAGUGGUGACCGUUAUUAUUGGGCCUAAAGCGUCCGUAGCCGGCUCGGUAAAUCUCUGGGUAAAUCGAUGGGCUUAACUCAUCGAAUUCUGGGGAGACUGCUGGGCUUGGGACCGGGAGAGGUCGGAGGUACUCCAGGGGUAGGGGUGAAAUCCUGUAAUCCCUGGGGGACCACCGGUGGCGAAGGCGUCCGACCAGAACGGGUCCGACGGUAAGGGACGAAGCCCUGGGGCGCAAACCGGAUUAGAUACCCGAGUAGUCC
rnacentral:rRNA from 1 species